CCGGAUUUAUUGGGCGUAAAGGGUGCUCAGCUGGUUUAUUAAGUCUGUAGUUAAAAUUCGAAGCUCAACUUCGAAGUGCUGCGGAAACUGGUAAACUUGAGUACAGGAGAGGGUAGUGGAAUUCCAUGUGAAGCGGUAAAAUGCGUAGAUAUAUGGAGGAACACCAGUGGCGAAGGCGGCUACCUGGCCUGUAACUGACGGUCAAGCACGAAAGCGUGGGGAGCAAAUAGGAUUAGAUACCCUAGUAGUCCACGCGGUAAACGAUGAAUACUAAGUGUUGGGGAAACUCAGUGCUACAGUUAACGCAAUAAGUAUUCCGCCUGGGGAGUAUGCGCGCAAGCGUAAAACUCAAAGGAAUUGACGGGGGCCCGCACAAGCGGUGGAUCAUGUGGUUUAAUUCGACGCAACGCGAAGAACCUUACCAGGUCUUGACAUAUCGGGCAAAACUCUAGAGAUAGAGCUAUAAUUAUUCCGAAUACAGGUGGUGCAUGGUUGUCGUCAGCUCGUGUCGUGAGAUGUUGGGUUAAGUCCCGUAACGAGCGCAACCCCUAUCUUUAGUUGCCAGCAUUAAGUUGGGGACUCUAAAGAGACUGCCGGUGAUAAACCGGAGGAAGGUGGGGAUGACGUCAAAUCAUCAUGCCCCUUAUGACCUGGGCUACACACGUGAUACAAUGGCGUAUACAAUCGGGGAGCUAAGCAGUGAUGUGGAGCAAAUCCUAAAAAGUACGUCUCAGUUCGGAUCGUAGUCUGCAACUCGACUACGUGAAGUUGGAAUCGCUAGUAAUCGCA
rnacentral:rRNA from 1 species